UGUCCAUAUUACAUUGAAACACCAGUUUUUGUUUGAUCACUGAAGUUAAGUGACGUCAAGCCUGGUGAGUACCUAGAUGGGUGACUGCUUGGGAAUGCCAGGUGCUGUAAG